rnacentral:rRNA from 1 species
UACGUAGGGUGCGAGCGUUGUCCGGCAUUAUUGGGCGUAAAGGGCUCGUAGGCGGUUUGUCGCGUCGGGAGUGAAAACCCAGGGCUUAACUCUGGGCUGGCUUUCGAUACGGGCAGACUAGAGGUAUGCAGGGGAGAACGGAAUUCCUGGUGUAGCGGUGAAAUGCGCAGAUAUCAGGAGGAACACCGAUGGCGAAGGCAGGUCUCUGGGCAUUAACUGACGCUGAGGAGCGAAAGCAUGGGGAGCGAACAGG